CUUGAAAUUAACUGGUUAUUAAAAAUUUUAUUUUAAAAUUUUAUUUAAAAAAAAUAUUUUUUUUUUUUAGUAAUAUCUAAGAACUAAUGAAAUUAAUUAUAGAUUAAUAGUAUUGAGAAAGAAAUUUUAUAUUUAUUAAUAAGAAAAAUUUAUUUUUUGUACCUUGUGUAUCAGGGUUUAUUAAUUAAAAAUUUUAUAAUUAAAUUUUCUCGAAUUUAAAAGAGCUAUAAUUAUAUAAAUUUUAUUGUGGAAUAAAUAUUUAUAAUAUAAUUAUAGAAGUGAAAUGCUAUUCGAUUUUAAAUAUAUCUAGUUUUUUAAGAAAAAAAUUUAAUUUUAUUUUUAUUUUAUUAUUAAAUUAAAUCUUUAAUUUGAUAGUAGUAAAAUUUUAUAUCUUAAGGGAUGAGCUUUAAGAUAAAUUAAUAUAAUUUAUAUAUUAUAAAAAUAUAGUAAGUAGGAUUGUUAGUUUCUAUCUUUUUUAGUGUAUUAUAACUAUCUAUAUUUAAAAUAAGAUUUUUAUAUGAAUUUAUAUAGUUUAUUAAAAUAUAAAUUUGAAUAAUUAAAAUUUAGUAAUAAUGAUAGAAUUAGUAUAAUUUUAUGUAAAAUAUAUUUAUUAAUUUAAGGUUUAGUAAAGGAACUCGGCAAAAAUAUUUUUCACCUGUUUAUUAAAAACAUGGCCUUUUGAUUAUAAUUUAAGGUCUGGCCUGCCCAAUGAUUAAAUUAAUUAAAUGGCCGCAGUAUCCUGACUGUGCAAAGGUAGCAUAAUCAUUAGUUUUUUAAUUGAAAGCUGGAAUGAAGGGUUGGAUGAGAAAAUAACUGUCUCUAUUAAAAUUUAUUAGAAUUUUAUUUUUAAGUUAAAAAGCUUAAAUUUAUAUAAAAGACGAGAAGACCCUAUAGAAUUUUAUAUUUUUUUAAUACUAAGGUUUUAGUAUUUUAAUUUUUUUAUUAAAAAAGUAUUUAGUUGGGGUGAUUGAAAAAUUUGAUUAACUUUUUUUGUAUUAAUACAUUGAUUUAUGAUUAUUUGAUCCUUAUUUAAAGAUUAAAAGAUUAAAUUACCUUAGGGAUAACAGCGUAAUUUUUUUUGAGAGUUCAAAUCGAAAAAAGAGUUUGCGACCUCGAUGUUGGAUUAAAAUAUAAUUUUGGUGUAGAGGCUAAAAAAUUAGGUCUGUUCGACCUUUGAUAUUUUACAUGAUCUGAGUUUAAACCGGCGUGAGCCAGGUUGGUUUCUAUCUUUAUAAAAAUAAAAUAUUUUAGUACGAAAGGACCAAAUAUUUGAUUUAAAAUUUAUUUGUAGAAUAUUAUU
rnacentral:rRNA from 1 species